GAUGAACGCUGGCGGCGUGCCUAAUACAUGCAAGUCGAGCGAACGGACUAGAAGCUUGCUCCUCUGACGUUAGCGGCGGACGGGUGAGUAACACGUGGAUAACCUACCUAUAAGACUGGGAUAACUUCGGGAAACCGUAGCUAAUACCGGAUAAUAUUUUGAACCGCAUGGUUCAAAAGUGAAAGACGGUCUUGCUGUCACUUAUAGAUGGAUCCGCGCUGCAUUAGCUAGUUGGUAAGGUAACGGCUUACCAAGGCAACGAUGCAUAGCCGACCUGAGAGGGUGAUCGGCCACACUGGAACUGAGACACGGUCCAGACUCCUACGGGAGGCAGCAGUAGGGAAUCUUCCGCAAUGGGCGAAAGCCUGACGGAGCAACGCCGCGUGAGUGAUGAAGGUCUUCGGAUCGUAAAACUCUGUUAUUAGGGAAGAACAAAUGUGUAAGUAACUGUGCACGUCUUGACGGUACCUAAUCAGAAAGCCACGGCUAACUACGUG
rnacentral:rRNA from 1 species